rnacentral:ncRNA from 1 species
UUGAUACUGCCACCGGGUAGUGAGCUCAUGUGCGCUCGUUUACACAUCGUUAGGUCUUAGAAGAUGUGUAGAUAGGGUGCUUUUUUACU